GAUGAACGCUGGCGGCGUGCCUAAUACAUGCAAGUCGAGCGAACGGACGAGAAGCUUGCUUCUCUGAUGUUAGCGGCGGAAGGGUGAGUAAAACGUGGAUAACCUACCUAUAAGACUGGGAUAACUUCGGGAAACCGGAGCUAAUACCGGAUAAUAUUUUGAACCGCAUGGUUCAAAAGUGAAAGACGGUCUUGCUGUCACUUAUAGAUGGAUCCGCGCUGCAUUAGCUAGUUGGUAAGGUAACGGCUUACCAAGGCAACGAUGCAUAGCCGACCUGAGAGGGUGAUCGGCCACACUGGAACUGAGACACGGUCCAGACUCCUACGGGAGGCAGCAGUAGGGAAUCUUCCGCAAUGGGCGAAAGCCUGACGGAGCAACGCCGCGUGAGUGAUGAAGGUCUUCGGAUCGUAAAACUCUGUUAUUAGGGAAGAACAUAUGUGUAAGUAACUGUGCACAUCUUGACGGUACCUAAUCAGAAAGCCACGGCUAACUACGUG
rnacentral:rRNA from 1 species